rnacentral:rRNA from 1 species
AUUGAACGCUGGCGGCAUGCCUUACACAUGCAAGUCGAACGGCAGCGCGGGGCAACCUGGUGGCGAGUGGUGAACGGGUGAGUAAUGCAUCGGAACGUACCUUUCAGUGGGGGAUAACGUAGCGAAAGUUACGCUAAUACCGCAUAUUCUGUGAGCAGGAAAGCAGGGGAUCGCAAGACCUUGCGCUGAUUGAGCGGCCGAUGUCAGAUUAGCUGGCUGGUGAGGUAAAGGCUCACCAAGGCGACGAUCUGUAGCGGGUCUGAGAGGAUGAUUCGCCGCACGGGAACUGAGACACUGUCCAGACUCCUACGGGAGGCAGCAGUGGGGAAUUUUGGACAAUGGGGGCAACCCUGAUCCAUCCAUGCCGCGUGAGUGAAGAAGGCCUUCGGGUUGUAAAGCUCUUUCGGCCGGGAAGAAAUCGCACGGGCUAAUACCCUGUGUGGAUGACGGUACCGGAAUAAGAAGCACCGGCUAACUACGUGCCAGCAGCCGCCGUAACAC